GCUUUGGACAAAAGUUAAAGUCAGCAACCAACAACACAUCAUGUUAGACUAAUCUAGUAAUUGUGUUUUGUAAAGUCCCGUCCCCCGUCCCCCCAUCCCUGUCCCCCCGUCCCCCCCCGAACAAAGGCAUUCUCAUCGAUCUGAAUUGAAGUCACAUAUUAUCAAGGAGGUUUUGGGAGACUUGCAUGAAUGAUUAUUCAUAAGUGCAGAAGCUGGUGUUGUAAUGUGAUAGGAAAUCCCAUUGAAAGGAGAUACUGAAAGGGCACGUUAUCAGGCUGGAAGGAGGUUACUCCUGUUGGAUCAGCCUUUGGAUUGAUGCUUUGGUACCAAGGGUGAGAGUAUGCUGAUAAAUUCUGUCAUUCAGUUGAACUGACAACAGACAUUUCCAUUUGAAGAGGAAAGAUUGUAAGUCAAAAAGCAGAAAUAUAUGUAUCUUUUUAUAUAUUUAUAGAUAAAUAAAACUUGAUCAGAAAAUAACCCUAGUAUUGCAUAGCCCAGAGAAGAGUAAAUGUGACUCUUGCAGGUAUCUAGCAAAGGGCUUCCAGGAGGGAGAUGGAAAUAUUGGUGCUUUUCUACACAGCUUUUAUGAGAGCUUUUUAGCAUUACUUUUUACACUUAUAACUGCUUGUUCAUGAUGCAUGAACUAGAACUAAAACUGAAACAGGCGUGACGCUGAGAUACUGGCAUGAUCAAAAGAAUGGAAGGCCUGUUUAAAGAGACAAAAUCAGCUUGACAUACUUUUAUAGAAAGGUUGGGAGAAUACAUACGUCACCUACAGACACACCGGGUGCAAACAUAAAAAAUGGGAGUUAUUGAAAUUGCAAGACUAUAGUAAGAAAAGAAUAAUUAGAUACAAAAAGGCUGUGGAUAUGUUAAGGGCUAAAAAUUAGAAGAUGGUGUCUUAGCCAUCAGUGGAACAAAGAGAAAAUGCAAACUUUACACUUGAUGCUUUUAUGUAGGAGGAUAGUAGUGCCCUGUGGCAAGGGAAAGGCCUUAUAACUUAAAACGAUUGCUUCCCAUGCUGUGCUUUAUGUUCAACUGCUGCAUGAAAAUUUUAAAAAUCAUUCUUUAACUAAAUGGACUUUGCAAAGGAAAAUUCCUUUGUAUCUUCCAGAGGCUUUUUCCUUCCUUGUUACUAUUUCCUAGAAGGAACCUCCUGUCUCUGUAGGGGAGUGAUGCUAAUUUUUAUGUAGGUUAGUCAACAUGUGGAAAUCACGCAGAGAACACAGGAGAGGUUGCCCGUUGUGGAAAUUGAACGAUGCCUGUCUGAUGAAAGGUCUGGAAAACAAAACUAACCUGACAUAUCUUUAAACUUUCCUGAAAAUGUUAUCAAAAAACCCCCUCAGGCUCAAGUUAUUCAACAGGUAUCUUCAGCAAAGGGGUUGUUAAAUAGCUGUAUGGAAGGCGUUGUCCCAUUAAAAGUAUGUAAAAGUGAAGUAAAAAUUUUAUUCAAAAUAAGACUCAGACUGGGGCAAGCAUGCUGCAAAGAGCAGAGGUUAUUUUCUGUUUUCUUUUCUGCAAGAGAAGGUAUUGCUUAGGGUCCCAGUCUUAAAGGUGGAGAAGAAUCCCUUGAGAAUGAUUAGUUUAAGCAAGGGAUGAAGAGCUGUGGGAAUAUCAGGAAUACCAGCUCUUCUUUGAUCCAAUGUCACUCAGUAUUUGUGUUUUGGCGUUGCAGGCUUUUUCCCAGAGAGAGAAAUAGAGUAAGAUUUACGAUGAUGAUGGAAGGCUUAAAUUCUGAGCAAUUGUUGUGAGCUUCUCCAGCAUGCAGAGAUAUGGAUGAGUGUCCAAGUUCUUACUGCGAUUGCACAUCUGAGUUUAGCACUGAAAGACACGCUCAUGUUAGGUGUAAAACUGUAGAAGAAUUUUAAAUGAGUGCAC